GCCGAUCAAUAUUAGCUUUAGGCUACCGAAUCAGUGUAGUGUUUUCCGGCAGAAGUGGUUGCUAUCAAAGUGGUGGUAGACUCGCUUGGAUGCCUGGUUGCCGCGGAAUCGCUGGCAACUACAAAGCCGAUGAGGUAGCCAAAGGGGUCACCCCGAUCACAUUGGAAUGAAGACGAGUUGGCAUCUUUCAUUCUAGCACUGAACCAAUGGACCUCGAGUGCACUUAGCAGAUCGAAGACCAACUCCAGUGCCAGGACGCGAUCCCUUUGGCAUGGAGUAGAAUGCAGGAGAUCUGUUGAACCAUUUGCCUUGAGCAAAGUUCAUCUUGCCGCUAACGUAGGCAUUAUUACUGGGCAGCAUUCAAUAGGCAUCCAUGCGCCUUUGCACGACUGAGGAUGAAAUAUCUCGAUGGUCUUACCUUCGGCAAAUCAGAAGACAUAGCCGAAACUGGCAUUAGCCGUUUCAACAAAUUUGUGUGAAGCUCAAAGCGACGAAGUGUAA